rnacentral:tRNA from 1 species
UCCUUGUUAGUCCAGUGGCUAGGAUAAUAGUCUCUCAACUAUAGGCCCGGGUUCGAUUCCCGGACGAGGAA